GCAGUUAGGAGAGAGACGGAGUUGUUUGUAUUGCAAUUAAGCGUGUCCUUGGUGAAGCCUAGGUUAAGAGAAGGCUCUGGGAUACAAGGAGCACGUUAAAGGACAGGAUUGGCCCGAACUUUUGAAGUGUCUUCUGGGACAGGCCUGGACUCUCGUCUCGAGUCCGCCCGGACCUGAACCCCAGCCAUCAGCGAAGUCAUACCUAUGGUUAGGACCAUCUGCGAGGUGUUCUCAUUCACUAUGCUUCCCUGUUUGAAAGCCUGCGUGACUUUAGUCCUUGAGGACUUGAAUCUCCGCUGUUUCAGACUCAGUGACCUUCGCUGAUGUGGCUGUGUACUUCACCCAGGAAGAGUGGACUUUACUGAACCCCUUUCAGAGAAAGCUAUAUAGAAAUGUGAUGCUGGAAAACUACAAGAACCUGACCACAGCAGGAUAUCAGGCAUUCAAACCAAUCUAAUAUCUUGGUUGGAAAAGAAGAGUUGAAGACUGUGGAGAGACCGAUCCUCCAAGAUGAGAGAUUAUUAUACAGAACUUCCCAGACAUGAAGUCACAGUGGACAGGAACUGUAUGACUGUGAGCGAAACGAGAAAGACAUCAGUGACCACUUUUACCUUAGGACACACAGGAGCACUGAAAAUAGAAGGAAUUUUUAUGAAGAUAAUCAGUAUGGAAAGAGCUUCCAUACUCUACACAAUAAACCCUUUACUGGGGAAAAAUCCUCCCAUGUUUAAUCAGUGUGGAAAGGCUGUCAGGCUGACUCCAGAUAUUACACAUAUGAGAACACACACUGGAGAGAAACCUUUUAAGUGUGACACAUGUGAAAAAGCUUUUAGGUUGUUCUCAUUGCUUCAUGCUCACCGUCGAUUUCACACUGGAAUGUGGGAAGGACUUUGCUGUAUCCUCAAACCUCACUGGACAUAUGAAAACUCACUAGAAAGCAACCCUAUAAAUGUAAAGAAUGUGGGAGAGACUUCCAUCGAUCCUCAGACCUCACUGGACGUCUGAAAACUCACACUGGAGAGAAACCCUAUGAAUGUGAGGAAUGUGGGAAAGCUUUUGGGUCAUCAUCAUACCUUCAUGUUCACAGUCAAAUUCACACUGGAAUAAAAGCUUACAAAUGUCAAGAAUGUGGGAAAACUUUUACUUUCCCCUCUCGCCUUAUUGAACGUAUGAAAACGCACACUGGAGAGAAGCCUUUUAAGUGUGACGCAUGUGGGAAAGUCUUUGCAUCUUCUCGUAAUCUUCUUAGACAUUUACAAUCUCAUACAAGGCAGAAGACUGCACAUUUAGUGCCAGAUGUGGGAAAGCCUUCACUUGUUCUUCACUAAUUACUCAACAUAUGAGAACAUACACUAGAGAGAAGCCUUGUAAGUGUAAUGCAUGUGGGAAAGCCUUUGGUUUUCCAGUAAUCUUCGACAUUUACAAUCCCACACUGGGCAGAAGACUGCUAAAUGUGACAGAUGUCAGAAAACUUUCACUCAAGUGUCAGUUCUUACUCAACAUAUGAGAACACACACUGGAGAGAAACCUUUUAAGUGUGACACAUGUGGAAAAGCCUUUAGGUUGUUUUCAUACCUUCAUGUUCACUGUCGAUUUCACACUGGAAUAAAACCUUACAAAUGUAAGGAAUGUGGGAAAGAUUUCUCUGUAUCCUCACACCUCACUGGACAUAUGAAAACUAAUACUAGAAAGCAAGCAACCCUAUAAAUGUAAAGAAUGUGGGAAAGACUUCCAUCAAUCCUCAGACCUCAUUGAACAUAUGAAAACUCACACUGGAGAGAAACCCUAUGAAUGUAAGGAAUGUGGGAAAGCCUUUGGAGUGUCCUCACACCUGCAUGUUCAGAGUUGAAUUCACUCUGGAAUAAAACCUUACAAAUGUCAGGAAUGUGGGAAAACCUUCACUCUCCCUUCACACCUUAUUGAACAUAUGAACACUUAUGUUGGAGAGCGACCCUAUAAAUGUAAGGAAUGUGGGGAAGCUUUUGGAUCAUCAUCACACCUUUAUGUUCACAGUCAAAUUCACACUGGAAUAAAACCUUACAUGUCAAGAAUGUGGGAAAACCUUCACUUGCCCCUCUCGCCUUAUUAUACAUUUGAAAAUGCACACUGGAGAGAAGCCUUUUAAGUGUGACACAUGUGGGAAAGGCUUUGUGUCUUCUCGUAAUCUUUUUAGACAUUUACGAUCUCAUACUGGGCAGAAGACUGCUAAAUGUGACAGAUGUGGGAAAGUCUUCACGCAACUCUCAGUUCUUACUAGACAUAUGAAAAUACACAUGGGAGAGAAGCUUUUUAAGUGUGACACAUGUGGAAAAACCUUCACUCUAUCCUCAUACCUUACUCAACAUAUGAAAACACACACUGGAGAGAAGAUUUAUAAGUGUGACAUGUGGGAAGGUCUUCACUCGAUGCUCAUAGCUUGCUAAACAUAUGAAAAAACACACUGGAGAGAAGCUUUUUAAGUGUGACACAUGUGGAAAGGCCUUCACUGAAUGCUCAGGCCUUACUCGACAUAUGACAACACAAACGGGAGAGAAGCCUUUUAAGUGUGACAAAUGUGGGAAGGCCUUUGCUGAUUCCUCAUGUCUUACUAAACAUUUUAGAAUGCACACUGGAGAGAAGCCUUUUGGGUAAUGUACACGGGAAAACAUUUACCACUUCUUUGCCUGUUACUGCACACAAGCGAAGUCACACUGGAGAGAAACCAUAUUUGUGUAAGGAACGUGGGUAAACAUUUUUUGCUCCUCAGUGCUUACUUUCUAUAGACAAUGACAUUGGAAAAGAAGCCACUGAAAUGUGACAAAUGUGGGAAAGCUCUUGCUGAUUCCUCCUAUCAUACUUAGCAUUUUAUUUUCAAUAUUUGACUGCAUCUGCAGCAGAUGAGACCUUAGUUCUCUGACCAAGGAUCAAUCCCAUGCCCUCUGCAUUGGAAGGCAGAGUCUUGACACUGGACAACCAGGGAGGUCCCAUACUAAACAUUUUUGAACUCAACAUAGAAGAGAAUACUUUUGAGUGUAAUAAAUUUCGGACAAGACUCACCAAUUUUUCACUCUUUAUCAUCCACACUGGAUAGAAACCCCAUAAACUUCGGAAUUUAGAAAUCAAUUUUAUCAUUCUUAUCUCAAAGGUAAUGGAAAAAGUAAGGGGAAUAGUUGGGGAUUGCCUUCUGCCUGUAUCUAUCAUGUCUUGUCUCUAGAGCAAAGCUCAGAGUUGUUGAUCACAGAACAUAUUUAGACACAUACACAAUUCAGUCUAUGGUGACACCUGGGUCACCAGGUCCCUUUCAGUGUGGGGAAUGUAGGUCUGUUACCUGGGCGGGAAAUAAGCAUCUCACAUGCUGUGGUGCAAAUAAGCUAUCACCUUCGUUCUCAUCACCUCUGCGGAGCCCAGGGUAGCUCUCACAGUGACAGGUAAGCCGAUCUCUUUUUCUCAUCGACAUGGGGGCCACUUACUCUACUAUGCCUACCUACUCUGGAAAAACCAAGGACCCUCAGGUAUCUUAUAGGGGUUGACAGUUUAGUAUCUAUGCCGUAAAUAACUGAGCCUCUACCUUACACCCUUCAAGAUACCCUGUUUUCUCAUUCUUUUCUCAUACUCCCAAAAUGCCCCACUCCUAUUCUUGGGAGAGACCUCUCAAAAUUCAAAGCCUCUAUUACUAUCCCAAACCCACCCUCUGAUCUUAAACUGGCUACUGGUCCUCAACCCCACCUCCUCCUCCUCCUCCCAGUUGACAUCUAUCCAUAAACCCCAUAGUUUGGGAUACAACUUCUCACCAUGCUCCCAACUCAUAUCCAUCUUAAAGACCCCUCUAAAUUUCCCCAAUCAACCACAAUACCCCAUCUCCUAAAAAUAUCAACAAGGGUUUAAGCCUAUUGUCACUAAACUCCUAUGUCAUGGCCUCUUGCGCCCAACCCACUCUCCCUAUAACACCCCUAUCUUACCCCUGAAAAAGCCAAAUGACUCCUAUCGCCUGGUCCAGGACCUGAGACUUAUCAGUGUGGCUGUUGUCCCCAUAUACCCAGUAGUUCCAAAUCCCUAUGCUCUUCUCUUUCAUUUCCUCCUCCAAUACCCACUUCACUGUUCUAGACAUCAAGAAUGCCUUCUUUACCAUCCCUUUACACCCAGACUCUCAAGACCUCUUUGCCUUUAUCUGGACCAAUCCAGACCAUCACUGCUCCCAACAGCUGAUAUGGACAGUCCUCCCACAAGGCUUUCAUGAUAGUCCUUAUUUCUUUGGCCAAGCUCCAGCAUCAGCCUCUCUUGAUCUUACUCUGUGAGUACUGUCCUCCAAUAUGUCGAUGAUCUCCUUUGUAGUCCUUCACUUACACACUCUCAACAACUACUAUACAACUCCUCAAUUUUUAGCCAGUCAGGGCUACUUAGUAUCUCCCACCAAGGUUCAGUUCUCUCUUCCUAGAGUCACCUAUCUUGGAGUCCUUUUAUCAUUAACUAAAAGAUAUAUUAACUACUGAUAGAAAGUUCCUUAUAUCCACCCUAUCAUUCCCUUUAUCAAAAACAGAUCUUGUCCUGCUUGGGGUUAGCUGGAUAUCUAUGCCUCUGGAUUUCUAAUUUUGCCCUCAUAUAUCAAGCCACCCUAGGGGGUCUUCCAUAAACCUUAGAGCUAAAAUCAAAUAUUCGUUCAGGCUUUAACACCCUUGAGCAAGUCAUUCUCAGCCCCAGCACUAACACUUCCUGACCUUUCUCACCCCUUUACACUAUUGAGAUAGACAAAAUUGCUCUAGGAGUUUUGGGACAAAAUCAGGGCCCCUCCAUCACCCCUGUCACUUAUCUAUCAAAGCAAUUAGAUACCACAAUUCAAGGAUGGCCAGCCUGCCUAUGUGCUCUGGAAGCAGCAGCACUCCUUGCUCAGGGAAAUAAGAAAAUUACUUUUGAACCACCCACUGUCAUUCAUUAACCACAUGACUUUAAGGACUUACUCUCUCACAAAUCCAUGACCCUUCUGUCUGCUUCACAUGUUCAACUAAUUAAUGUUACCCUUCUUGAAUCUCCCCACUUCUCCCUUGAACACUGUCGUACUCUCAACCUUGCCACUCUUAUCCCUAAUUCUUCUGUGCCCCCCAUCCAUACUUGCAAAGAGGCAAAAAAAAAAAAAAA